rnacentral:rRNA from 1 species
GACGAACCGUGCGAACGUUAUUCGGAAUCACUGGGCUUAAAGGGCGCGUAGGCGGGCUCGCAGGUCAGGGGUGAAAGCCCACGGCUCAACCGUGGAAGUGCCUUUGAUACCGUGAGUCUCGAGGGAGGUAGGGGCGUGCGGAACUUCCGGUGGAGCGGUGAAAUGCGUAGAUAUCGGAAGGAACAUCGGUGGCGAAAGCGGCGCGCUAGACCUCUUCUGACGCUGAGGCGCGAAAGCCAGGGGAGCAAACGGG